ACACUUUUGUAGUUCAUAAGCACGAUGAUUGGCUCAUGUUUAAGAUACAUUGCCCUCAAACCUUCUUAUGAUAUCAGCACGUUACCUGUCUGACA
ensembl:snoRNA